AGUGUAGCUUAAGUAGCAACAAAUGUUAAUGCCAGAGUUUACUUUAGCCAUUCAAAAUAUUUCAAAAAUUAGUUAUUUGUGUGAAGAUGACGCUUGCUUUUCUGAAACAUAACCCCCACUAUAGCUUCAUCCUGUACUUAUUUUCUGGCUCACAAAACACGUUAUUCCCUCCGAUUUCAUCUGGAGGCAGGCAAAAGAGGGCAAGCCUUUUUGAUUUCUCUGAGGGGUUCUGAAUAAAUGAAUAAAUUUAGAUGCCAUAGAAUACAGAUUUUGCAUACUAACAGAUAAAACACAUGGUUACAACUGGAUGCAAGUCUUUUUAAAAUUUGUUUUGACAUAUGUCAAGACGGUAAUUAAUUUCCAGGCCCUUCUCCUAGCCCAGCAUGUGACCCUUCUGAGAUAACUUUGUUUACUCAAAAUAGCAGGACUUUGUCAGAAAUUUAAUUGGGGUCCUUUUUACUAUGUAUAUUCAUAAAUGAUCCUUCAGAACUGAUUUCAGUUGAAAUAUUGCUUUUUUGGAGUAUCUGUCCAAUAGAAUGAGAAAAAUUAUUGCCAAAUGAAAUGUGGUUUCUCUUCAAAAUGAAACAAAUAAUAGGUGAUCUGUUUAAAAAAAACAAAACAAAAAACCCUAUCCAUUUAACACAACGUUAAGACUAUCACAUUUUGUGACACUAAAUAUCGCUCUUUGCAGUGAAGUGUCCAUUUGAUAGUCUGAGUAAAAGCAGCAUAUUGAACUCUUAGCUGGAAAUGUUGUAAAGCUGAAACUUUUUCUGGGCGUUCCCCUCCCCUCCCCCUACAUACUUUUAGAAUGCAUUUCUUCCUUCCUUCAGUAGAAGGUCGUCUAUAAAAGCCUGUGUUAAUUCAUUAGAUACCUCCAUGUGUUCCCUCUAUUGUAUGCACACAGUAACUUUUAAUUCUAGCUGAAUCUGAUGUUUAUGGAAUCUCUUUGCAUGCUUCAGACUUUGCUUGCACAAAGCCAUUUUAGUUACAGAAGAAAGGGAGUUUCAGUAUGUGGGCUUCAGUGUUGGAUUUUUUUUUAUAGGGCCUAACAAACUGAUUAGCUUCAAUGGAGGAGCAGAGUGGAGAACUGAGCCACUACUUAAAACUCACUCCUAACUCGGGGCAGGUGGCUAGUACAUGAGUCUCUCCCUACCCCUUUGGUUUCCACAAAGUUCUCAUUCCCCUUUUAGUGUCUCUUCCCUCUCAAACCCCAUUUCCUAUUGGUACCUACAUCUUCCUCCAUUUUGCUUCUAUCUGUCUUUGAGCUGACCCCAGAACCCAAAGGAGAUUAGGUGCAUUGCAAUUGUGGGUCUGUUCCUCCACACAUGCACUAGCAAUACUAACACCAGCCUGAAAGACACAUGCUCAUGCUCCCGGAAGAGAGCUGCUGGGCUAGAGCACAAGGAGGGCUGGACUACAUGAUUGCUCAAUGAGACUUUCCUGUCUGGAUAAGUGGCAGGAUGCAGAAGGCUGUGAGAAGAAGUGGAAUUCUCAUGACGUCAUUUCCAAGUGAGAAAGACACUUUAUAGGGUGGUAGUACACCAUUUUGUAGAAAGUAGAUUGCGCUAGUGAGAGAGGGUGUGAAUUAUCCACUUUCCCCAACACCGAAAAAUGUGUUCACAAAGACUAGCAAUCUUACAGCAAGGCAGGAGAAAAUAUCCAUUAUAAGGUCUCCAAAAUUUCUUAAUUUACUACUUCUGCUGAGACUACAUAAGCAAACUGAGCCAGAGUUUUAAUUCCUGCAUAAUUCAUUUUAUUAACUAUGACCAAGUAGAACAUCUGUUAAAAUUCCAUAAUGUUAAGUUCAUGGGAAAAACAGAGCAAACCCUGAGUUCUCCUUGGAAUUUUUCCAUUUACAUUAAUGAUACAGCUUUCUAACGAUGUCUUAAAUGAACAUUGCUAUCAAUGAGACUAUGACACAAUUGAAAAUGAAGCACCUUGUCAAAUCUCGCUGUUUACCAUAGCUCACUGUGUAAUGAAUGAUUUCACUCCACGCAUCUCUGUGCGUGUAUAUGGUAGCUUCACAGUAGCAAUGCCAUAGUUAAGGUUGAAAUGUCACUUUUGUUGUGAAUUACUGCAAGUGCUUGGAAAAUGCAAAGUGCUAAUUUAAAAAAGCCCAAUAAUUUGUCACUUCUAAACAUAUUACAGCUGGAUUGAAAUUUUUUUAUGCUUGUCCCAGCCCAGGAGUGAACUGAAGAAGAAAUAGAAAGGUGUUUUUCAGCUCUUGGCAGGGUUUUUUGCUCACUGAUAACCUGAUAGAAGCUUUGCUUUAAAAGAUUAAGCCUAGCAUUUGAAUGGUCGUGAAUAAACAUGCACUUUAGCCUUGUCUGAGGAAACUUGGGCUCCCAUCCUGCAAUGGGCUCUGGCGGGUGGAUGUGACCUAUUGAAGUCAAAGCCACGGUCCCUGAGCAGAGCUAAUUGCGGGAUCAGGGCCUUCGUGUCAAAGUAAAAACACUGGGGGUUUGGAUCUAGUCAUGGACUGAUGACUGGAUUCAAACCUUUAGGAAGGUCUUUACCUUCAGGAAGAUGGAUCAGAGUGUUACCUCAGAUGGUGCUUAAAGUAGCCAAGAGUGCAAAUGAGUAAAGGCAGUAGCCAGCUUGUUACUGGAAGGGGAGAGGACAUUUCAGCUGUAUCCCUUCUGAGAGAGUGAACCAGUUAUGAGGAAAUCUUGACAUCUUAGAUGGCAGCCCGCGCCCUAAGAAACACAAUUUUGCUGGAGCUGUUGGCUAUCAUAAAUACUUUGUAGUAUGUGGCAAUACGUAUACACAAGGGGGCUGUGAGAACUUGCCAUGUUUUGAGAGGAGAAAGCUAAGAAAAGCAACAACAAAAAGCCCCUAAAUAUCUUAUUACCUGGCAGCAAGUGAGGUGCAACCUGUAGCAGUUAGAAGUUAAAUGACCCCCUAACAGCUGCACCUGUUACUCCCUCCCAAAUUUAAAGUCCCAACUCCCAGAGCAUUCUGGGAAAGGCUUGUAUAAAAGGGUGAAACUCAAGGGAGGCAUUUAGAAAGUGGGGGAUCUCUUAGGCAGUGGGCUAGAAUUUCUGAGGGUUAGUGGCUGUAUACUGUAUAUAGAAAACAGUCAGCUUUGUUUGCAAGUGAAUCCUACUUUGCUACGUAAUGGAUGUAGCUGUGUGUGUGUUCCUUUUGUUAUGAUAUCUUGAUAUAAAUAUCCUGGUCUCCUUGGCUCUGAGUUUUUUAGGUUUAUUGCUACAAGGUAGAACAAGGUUGCUGACGGAGUCUUCUCUGACUUGUGCAAUUAAAAUGUUGACCUUGGUCUUUCAUCUUUGUAUAGCUUUUUGUGUAUUUAAUAGCCACAGGAUACACACACCUUAGCAGAAUCAGGCAAAUAAUCCAGUUUCUUAACACAACACUUGUUUGAAAAACCAAACAUAACGUUCUCUAAGAAAAUGCACACAAUUAGCUGUCUUCACUUUGUUUUCUGGGAAACCACCUGUUUGUUUUUUGUUUGUUUGUUUGUUUUUCCCUCAUGAAGCUCUUAACAUGCUGGAUUUAAGCAGAAAUUUCCUUUUUUAGGCUAUAAAGAGAACUGCUCAGGAUCUGUCUAGAAUGGUUCACUUUGCAUGACUGACGCUUUAGACUUUUGUCAGGCAACCAGAGUUUCUUAAACUGAAGAGUAUUUUCAACUAGCACCAAAACACUAACUGAGACAGGAUUGGGAACUGGAAGACAAGUUAGAAAGCCAGUCCAACAUUUGUGGGAAAUGUGCCCAAGUUUUGUGGUGUGCUUAAUGAAAUAUCCAUUAGGGCUAGGUUGAAAAAUAAGUUUUGUUGGAAGGUGUCUAUACUGCCCUACUGUACUCCUUAAUCGCUUCCUCCCUUUCAGUUUAACACCAUACUAUUUUGAAAAGCGUUAUCUCUGGAGUGCAUUAGCUCUUGGGUAGAACACUUGUGUGUUUCUAUCUCCCUAUGAUAGCAAGAGAAUUUCAUUUUAAAGGGUCCUUAAGUACUUGAGGCAAUUCUCCAGGGUGAAAUAGGGAGGCUAGUCUCCAUAGUUCAGGGUCCAGUGGCCUUGUGCUCUAAUAUAUUUUGGAAACUCACUUUCUAGAUUGCAAGCUGGAAAAUUGGUAAAUGGAGCUAUCAAUCAUUUAUUUUUGCAUUAUAUACAGUGUAGUUAUUACACUUUAUUUAGGCACACUAGAAUAACAUUUAAAAACAAAAAUAGAUGUCUAAAAAGUAAUUGAAAUAACAUCCAAAGUCCACGAAAUAACCCUGUUUUUUUUGUAAUUGAUCAGUAUGAAUAAACAGGCCAUGUGACAUGCUUGGAAGGUCAACAGACUUUGGUUUGGAUGAACCAAGGCAAAAAAGUGAAAAUGUCCUGUAUCUCACACGUACAGAUACAUGACUCAUCACCCUAACUGUGCCAGGUCCUCUUGCCUAUCUAGUUGAAUGCACCUUCUUUUUAUAGUUAGGUGCUAGACACAUGUGUAUAAGUGUAUAACAUGGUCCAUUGGUAGAGCAGGAGAAAUGAAGUCCUGGAUUCAUGAUUCUGCCACCAAUUUGCUGUUUAAUGUUGGACAUGGGGCACUUUUCUGCACUGCCUCAUGUCUGUAAUGUGUGACCCUGUAAUAUCUCUGAAUGCAAGGGGCUCUGUAUAUGCAAAAUUAUACUGUAUUUAAAAUCUAAAGUGUUGCAUCUGGACUCUGUGGAUAGGCAAGAUAUGUUGAAAACUGUGUAUUUAGGGCACACAAGAUUUAAUAAUGCAAAUCCUUUUCAAAAGAAUGUGGAUGUGGGUGGGGUCUGGCGGGAAGCCUAUUUGAUUUCAUGCUUCAGAUAGGGGGAACGGAGACUUUUAAAAGGGAGCUUAAUAAGGCAUUUUGCAGACAGCACUUUCUGCAAUAAUCAUGAACACAGAAACGAGUUCCAGCCAUGUGCUAGGAUCCAGAAACGGAGCAGGAGGCACCUGCUAUGCUGUGCUCUAGUUUGCUCAUGCUGUAACUUCUAAUAACCUAGUUCUUGACAUUGUUGGUGUGUUCUUGGCAUUGGUUGCUCUUGAUCCCACAAGUUUGGCAGCCACUCAGAGAAUACACUCUCAGCCAUCAUAAUGUCUGGUGGGGAAACUUAAUGCGAGUCCCUCCCCCCCAAAUAAAAUUGCAUGUGACAAGGCUCACUAUGUUCUAGUUAAUUUCUCUUGUAGGAGAGUGUGCUAAAAAGACAAGUCCAAGACAAGGUCCUUUGCCGUAACAAUCUGGGAUGUUAAAACAUAUAACACAGAGAAGUGCAGACACAGAGAGAUGGAUUUCCCUUGUUUCGGGGGGGUGAACCUGAAAGAGUUGUGCAUAGGUAGAAAGAAGGAAUCUUGAAGACUAAAAGCUUCCGUAUUUUGCUGCAAUCUCUACUCUUGGGGAAAUUCUGUGCUACUGCGUGCGUGCAUAUUUAAUGUGCCCCGUAGAUUUUUAAUUUUUCACGCAGAAAAAAGCUUCUGCCAAAAUGUUGCUGCAGUUCCGCCUUUUGCCUUCCAGAGGGCGCUGUGGCAAUAGAACAAAGGUGCAGCUCCCUGCCAGGGAGGAAGGAGAGAGGUGCCUUAGCAGCUUGUCAGGCCAGGUCAGGAGACCAGGUCUGUGGGGUGCUGGGGGAGGGGGGGUCAGACAGGGGCUCAUGAGGGCUAGUGGGGGGAGGACAGACUGGGGCAGGGACUGACAGGGAGUGGAGGCACAGGGCCAUGGGGGGAGGGUGGUGUAGAGAUACAUGGGGACAGUGGGAGUGGGGGGCAGAGCUACAUAGGGGCAGGGGAGUGGCUGGGUGAGGGCACAGAGACACAUGGUACGGGGCAGAUGUCUCUGUGUGUGAGAUUAUAUAUUAUUUGAAGCACAUAUGUACAAUAUCUGUGUUUACAACACAUACCUUUAAAAAAAAAAAAAGCACUUUGAGAUCCAUAGGGGUGAAACAUCCUGUACAAAUGUAGGAUUAUUUGCUGUGGCCGGCCAAUCUGGCAAUAGAAACCAAUGUCACUCGAACAGGAAAUUCUUGCUGGAGCUGGACUGAAAAUCAUUCCAAAGAGGAAGUCCAGCAGGCUGAAAUAAGCCAUAAUCCCAACUAACAUGAGCAGCAAUUAUCUGAUUUCAGCAUCUGCCCUAGUAGUCUGAGGUUUCUGUAGUUCAGUUAAGGAGCCGACAUUCUUUUUUUUUAGGUAGUUAAAGGGAAAGGCAAUAAAAAAUCUGGGCAUUACUGUUCCUAUGUAAACAAUUACUGUCAGGAGCGAGAAGGGGGAGUGAGACCUUCUUUCCUUUAUUUCCUUGUUAUGUUCAUGUUGAAUGGAUGUAGCCUUGAUCAUUACAUCUUUCAUGCACUAGAGGGCACACGAUGCCUAUGAUUUCUGCAAUGUCAACCUUCAGCAAACUUUUAUUGCAUGGGAUCUAAUCUGUGCAUCUUGAAAUUGACUUGGCAUUAAUCAUGCCCCUGAACCGAACCAAAAAAGGGAACGUAAGGAGCAAGACCCUCUUCAUUUUAUUUUAUGCAGGGGAGUGGUCCCAUUGAAUUUUGUGGGGCUUACUCGUGUAAGUAAACGGAGUGGGAUUCAGCUCAGGACUAAUGCAUGGAUUCAUGUCUUUGAAUCUCUGAGUUUUCAUGUGAUAUGAAUUGAUAGAAUACAUUCCCCAGUUCUAGGACACUCCAAGUGUGGAUUAAUCGAGUGGUUCUUUACCUCUUUUAUACUGUGACCACAUGAUAUACCAGGAAGUUUCAAGACACCUGCCCACUGCAUUCCGACUAACCAUAAAGAAAGGAAUGGUGAUGAUAUGCUCAUGGGCCACUAAACCAGGUCACAAUCCCCAGGUGGUGAGGAACCAUGGCUAAGGCAUUCAAGCUAAUUAAACUAACUUAUUAAGAGUCUGCUUUUGUUUGAAUUCUGAAUUUGGUGAACUCACUUAGCUUUGCAAACAUACCAUAAGUUGAAUGGUCGUCUGGGUUGAUCUAGUCAAUACCCGAAGUGCACCAGAAUUUGGGAAUCCUGUUGGAAAUAUAGGAGUGUUAAGAUACUGAACCUGCCUGUAGGUGCAUUCCCUCUCCUUAUUGUAUGAAUGAGGGCCCAAUCCUUCAAGUAAAUCUGCCACUUAGUUGAAUAGGAGUUAAAUCCACACAAGGACUGCAGACCCAUUGUCAAAUAUCUUUGAGUACUGGGGAACGUCUGUCAAACUCCCGUGCCCCCCCCCCCCCCCGUGUAUGAUUUUUAAAUAAAAAUUCUUAAUGGGAAACUUAUCUAU